ACUCUAGUGCAGCCACCGUCACUUGUCAGCUGGGCCAUGCCGUGGGCCUCUUCACCAGUCUCCCCGCUCCUAGUCCGGCUCCCACAAGACAGUCUGCACACACCCACUGAGGAGUCGACAGUGCGAGCAGCGGCAGGUCAAGAGCCCCACAGGUGUGAAGAGUGGCAAUGAGGGAUUUAAUCUACGCUGUGGAUCGUAGCACAGAAGAGUGCACCACGUGGUGUUCGAGAGAGGAAGUGAACAGAAAUAUCUCAAGACUGCUGGUCCAAGAGGAGCCUAAGGCCCCAGCUGAUGGAGGCAUCUAUACAGACAGCCACCAAGGAGACAGGUCAUAAACCGUCAUGUGAGAGGUGCCCUCCCCAUACCUGGAGAAAAGGAGCAUCCGUAUCUCCAAAGGCUGAGUCGCCAAGAAGAAUCCUAACUAACAGGCCUUGUGAAGCUUCCCCCAGUUACUACAAUUACUUCCUCCCCCUAACCCAUCACAUUCCUCCCUGAUGGGCCACUCUUCAUCAAAGCUAGCGUGAAAAUACACAGGUAUUUUUCUGGGUCUGUUUCUCUGGGUCUUCAUUUCUUUAUGAAAACUCUCAUGCCACGUAAAACUUGUAUCAAAUAAAUUUGUAUGUUUUUCUCC